rnacentral:rRNA from 1 species
GAUGAACGCUGGCGGCGUGCCUAAUACAUGCAAGUCGAGCGAACAGACGAGGAGCUUGCUCCUCUGACGUUAGCGGCGGACGGGUGAGUAACACGUGGAUAACCUACCUAUAAGACUGGGAUAACUUCGGGAAACCGGAGCUAAUACCGGAGAAUAUAUUGAACCGCAGGGUUCAAUAGUGAAAGACGGUUUUGCUGUCACUUAUAGAUGGAUCCGCGCCGCAUUAGCUAGUUGGUAAGGUAACGGCUUACCAAGGCAACGAUGCGUAGCCGACCUGAGAGGGUGAUCGGCCACACUGGAACUGAGACACGGUCCAGACUCCUACGGGAGGCAGCAGUAGGGAAUCUUCCGCAGUGGGCGCAAGCCUGACGGAGCAACGCCGCGUGAGUGAUGAAGGUCUUCGGAUCGUAAAACUCUGUUAUUAGGGAAGAACAACUGUGUAAGUAACUAUGCACGUCUUGACGGUACCUAAUCAGAAAGCCCCGGCUAACUACGUG